GUCUACAGCCAUGCCACCCUGAACAAGCCCAAUCCUGUCUGAUCUCUGAAGCUAAGCAGGGUCGGGGCUGGUUAGUACUUGAAUGGGAGACCACCUAGGAAAACAAAGUGCUGUAGGUG
rnacentral:rRNA from 1 species